GCAGUCGAGGGGUAUAUUUCUUCGGAGAUAGAGACCGGCGCACGGGUGCGUAACGCGUAUGCAAUCUACCUUUUACAGAGGGAUAGCCCAGAGAAAUUUGGAUUAAUACCUCAUAGUAUAUAGACCUGGCAUCAGGAUUAUAUUAAAGUCACAACGGUAAAAGAUGAGCAUGCGUCCCAUUAGCUAGUUGGUAAGGUAACGGCUUACCAAGGCUACGAUGGGUAGGGGUCCUGAGAGGGAGAUCCCCCACACUGGUACUGAGACACGGACCAGACUCCUACGGGAGGCAGCAGUGAGGAAUAUUGGACAAUGGGCGCAAGCCUGAUCCAGCCAUGCCGCGUGCAGGAUGACGGUCCUAUGGAUUGUAAACUGCUUUUAUACGAGAAGAAACACUCCGACGUGUCGGAGCUUGACGGUAUCGUAAGAAUAAGGAUCGGCUAACUCCGUGCCAGCAGCCGCGGUAAUACGGAGGAUCCAAGCGUUAUCCGGAAUCAUUGGGUUUAAAGGGUCCGUAGGCGGUUUGGUAAGUCAGUGGUGAAAGCCCAUCGCUCAACGGUGGAACGGCCAUUGAUACUGCCAGACUUGAAUUAUUAGGAAGUAACUAGAAUAUGUAGUGUAGCGGUGAAAUGCUUAGAGAUUACAUGGAAUACCAAUUGCGAAGGCAGGUUACUACUAAUUGACUGACGCUGAUGGACGAAAGCGUGGGUAGCGAACAGGAUUAGAUACCCUGGUAGUCCACGCCGUAAACGAUGGAUACUAGCUGUUGGGAGCAAUCUCAGUGGCUAAGCGAAAGUGAUAAGUAUCCCACCUGGGGAGUACGUUCGCA
rnacentral:rRNA from 1 species